rnacentral:tRNA from 1 species
UCCCUCGUGGUUCAGUGGUUAAGACUCUGUGCUUUUAACGCCAGGGGCACAGGUUUGAUCCCUGUUUGGGGAA